CGUAGGGUUUCCUAGCGCUGGAAGGAGGGAAGGCAGCUCGGUGGAUGGGCGAGCUCGCCUCGCCCGCGUGAGGACGUGGGAAUAAAUAUGCUUGGGAUACAUGGGACCGUGUCGCAAAAAUAAUGGGCGGAUGAAAAAGCCAGUUCUAGAAAUACCAGUUUGGAAUGCCUUGUACAAGAAAGUAAGGGAGGGCAGGGUAGAAGAGAACAGCUCACCACCUUCCAGCAGCCAGGAACCAGCAAGAGAAUCCAUGAGUUUUUAGUGACAUAGAGAAGCAAACAAAGGGGCCAGGGAAAUGGCUCAUCAAUGGUGACUUCAGUCUUCAGUGGCUCUUGCUUGUAGUGCUAGGACUAGGGAAAGCAGAGAAAGGCUGAUCCCCGAGUCUGCUGGCUAGCUGCUGUGGUAUCACUGAGAGGGCCCUGAUGAAGAAUAAUGAAGGGCUGGUGGGAUGGCU
ensembl:processed_transcript 8430429K09Rik RIKEN cDNA 8430429K09 gene